ACACAACCAGACACGAUUUGGAAGAGCUUCCCAGCAGAAGGCACAACAAUGGCAGCGAUACCAGUCCCAUAUA